rnacentral:rRNA from 1 species
GCAUCAUGAUUUACAUUUGAGUGAGUGGCGAACUGGUGAGUAACACGUGGGAAACCUGCCCAGAAGCGGGGGAUAACACCUGGAAACAGAUGCUAAUACCGCAUAACAACUUGGACCGCAUGGUCCGAGUUUGAAAGAUGGCUUCGGCUAUCACUUUUGGAUGGUCCCGCGGCGUAUUAGCUAGAUGGUGGGGUAACGGCUCACCAUGGCAAUGAUACGUAGCCGACCUGAGAGGGUAAUCGGCCACAUUGGGACUGAGACACGGCCCAAACUCCUACGGGAGGCAGCAGUAGGGAAUCUUCCACAAUGGACGAAAGUCUGAUGGAGCAACGCCGCGUGAGUGAAGAAGGGUUUCGGCUCGUAAAACUCUGUUGUUAAAGAAGAACAUAUCUGAGAGUAACUGUUCAGGUAUUGACGGUAUUUAACCAGAAAGCCACGGCUAACUACGUGCCAGCAGCCGCGGUAAUACGUAGGUGGCAAGCGUUGUCCGGAUUUAUUGGGCGUAAAGCGAGCGCAGGCGGUUUUUUAAGUCUGAUGUGAAAGCCUUCGGCUCAACCGAAGAAGUGCAUCGGAAACUGGGAAACUUGAGUGCAGAAGAGGACAGUGGAACUCCAUGUGUAGCGGUGAAAUGCGUAGAUAUAUGGAAGAACACCAGUGGCGAAGGCGGCUGUCUGGUCUGUAACUGACGCUGAGGCUCGAAAGUAUGGGUAGCAAACAGGAUUAGAUACCCUGGUAGUCCAUACCGUAAACGAUGAAUGCUAAGUGUUGGAGGGUUUCCGCCCUUCAGUGCUGCAGCUAACGCAUUAAGCAUUCCGCCUGGGGAGUACGGCCGCAAGGCUGAAACUCAAAGGAAUUGACGGGGGCCCGCACAAGCGGUGGAGCAUGUGGUUUAAUUCGAAGCUACGCGAAGAACCUUACCAGGUCUUGACAUACUAUGCAAAUCUAAGAGAUUAGACGUUCCCUUCGGGGACAUGGAUACAGGUGGUGCAUGGUUGUCGUCAGCUCGUGUCGUGAGAUGUUGGGUUAAGUCCCGCAACGAGCGCAACCCUUAUUAUCAGUUGCCAGCAUUAAGUUGGGCACUCUGGUGAGACUGCCGGUGACAAACCGGAGGAAGGUGGGGAUGACGUCAAAUCAUCAUGCCCCUUAUGACCUGGGCUACACACGUGCUACAAUGGAUGGUACAACGAGUUGCGAACUCGCGAGAGUAAGCUAAUCUCUUAAAGCCAUUCUCAGUUCGGAUUGUAGGCUGCAACUCGCCUACAUGAAGUCGGAAUCGCUAGUAAUCGCGGAUCAGCAUGCCGCGGUGAAUACGUUCCCGGGCCUUGUACACACCGCCCGUCACACCAUGAGAGUUUGUAACACCCAAAG